CCUAACACAUGCAAGUCUUAACGGUAACGCGGAGAGCUUGCUCUCUGGCGACGAGUGGCGGACGGGUGAGUAAUACUUGGGAAUCUGCCCAGUAGUGGGGGACAACAUUCGGAAACGGAUGCUAAUACCGCAUACGCACUACGGUGGAAAGUGGGGGAUCUUCGGACCUCACGCUAUUGGAUGAGCCCAAGUCGGAUUAGCUUGUAGGUAGGGUAAUGGCCUACCUAGGCGACGAUCCGUAGCUGGUCUGAGAGGACGAUCAGCCACACUGGGACUGAGACACGGCCCAGACUCCUACGGGAGGCAGCAGUGGGGAAUAUUGGACAAUGGGCGCAAGCCUGAUCCAGCAAUGCCGCGUGUGUGAAGAAGGCCUGCGGGUUGUAAAGCACUUUCAGUAGAGAAGAAAAGCCUAGGGUUAAUAGCCCUGAGUCUUGACGUAACCUACAGAAGAAGCACCGGCUAACUCCGUGCCAGCAGCCGCGGUAAUACGGAGGGUGCGAGCGUUAAUCGGAAUUACUGGGCGUAAAGCGCGCGUAGGCGGUUUUGUAAGUCGGAUGUGAAAUCCCCGGGCUUAACCUGGGAACUGCAUUCGAUACUGCUUAACUAGAGUAUGGUAGAGGGAAGUGGAAUUUCCGGGUGUAGCGGUGAAAUGCGUAGAUAUCGGAAGGAACACCAGUG
rnacentral:rRNA from 1 species